AUAAAUUGGAAAGAAUUGACAUCUUCAUGCUGUUGCCUCUUCUCAUCUUGGAACACUUUAUAUAUUUCCAUUCAUUUAAGAGAGAGACCCAAAUCUGCUCUUCUGACUCUCCAUCAGUGCAUGUCAAUACCAUCCAAGUUAUGACUCAAGAUGGAAACAAGAAAGUCAUCCUUCACAUUUGCCUGCCCCUUAAUUUUCAUUGAGUCUCUUAAAGAUUAUUCCUGAAAUAUC